GGCAAUCACAUCCGUGAGUUUUGUUCAUGUUCUAGCCUAUAUUCAUAUACUUGGACAAUUUGUAACUUGCAUAACUUAGACAUGCUCAUUAUAAAUGUCUAAAGAAAAAAAAAAAGUCGUGAAGGGUCGUUGGACAACGAACAAAAGCUAACACAAACUGAAAAUACAUCAUAUAGGCAGAGAAAAGCUAACGAUGAUGAACUAUUUCACAUGUUUUGGGCAACAUUAAAAUUAAUUUAAACCAAAAGUUCAAAACAAACAGGGGAGCAGAAAGUCGAGCAAGCUGCCUUAAUCAUUU
rnacentral:misc_RNA from 1 species